rnacentral:rRNA from 1 species
UACGUAGGGUCCGAGCGUUGUCCGGAAUUACUGGGCGUAAAGAGCUCGUAGGUGGUUUGUCGCGUUGUCCGUGAAAACUCACAGCUCAACUGUGGGCGUGCGGGCGAUACGGGCAGACUGGAGUUCUGCAGGGGAGACUGGAAUUCCUGGUGUAGCGGUGGAAUGCGCAGAUAUCAGGAGGAACACCGGUGGCGAAGGCGGGUCUCUGGGCAGUAACUGACGCUGAGGAGCGAAAGCGUGGGGAGCGAACAGG